UACAGAGACUGCGAGCGUUAUUCGGAUUCACUGGGCGUAAAGGGUGCGCAGGCGGCCAAGUGUGUUAGGCGUGAAAGCCUGGGGCUUAACCUCAGAAUUGCACCUAAAACUACAUGGCUAGAGCAUUGGAGAGGGUAGCGGAAUUCACGGUGUAGCAGUGAAAUGCGUAGAUAUCGUGAGGAAUACCAGAGGCGAAGGCGGCUACCUGGACAAUUGCUGACGCUCAGGCACGAAAGCGUGGGGAGCAAAAGGG
rnacentral:rRNA from 1 species